rnacentral:rRNA from 1 species
UGAACACACCUGUUCUCAUCUGAUCUCAGAACCGAAGCA